rnacentral:rRNA from 1 species
UUGAUCCUGGCUCAGGACGAACGCUGGCGGCGUGCCUAAUACAUGCAAGUCGAGCGGACCUUAGCGAUCUUCGGAUCGCUCUUGGUUAGCGGCGGACGGGUGAGUAACACGUAGGCAACCUGCCUGCGAGACUGGGAUAACUACCGGAAACGGUAGCUAAUACCGGAUAAUUUAUCGCUUCGCAUGGAGCGGUAAUGAAAGACGGAGCAAUCUGUCACUUGCAGAUGGGCCUGCGGCGCAUUAGCUAGUUGGUGA